CGUAAGCAACGCGAAGAACCUUACCAGGUCUUGACAUCCCGAUGCUAUUUCUAGAGAUAGAAAGUUACUUCGGUACAUCGGUGACAGGUGGUGCAUGGUUGUCGUCAGCUCGUGUCGUGAGAUGUUGGGUUAAGUCCCGCAACGAGCGCAACCCCUAUUGUUAGUUGCCAUCAUUCAGUUGGGCACUCUAGCGAGACUGCCGGUAAUAAACCGGAGGAAGGUGGGGAUGACGUCAAAUCAUCAUGCCCCUUAUGACCUGGGCUACACACGUGCUACAAUGGUUGGUACAACGAGUUGCGAGUCGGUGACGGCGAGCUAAUCUCUUAAAGCCAAUCUCAGUUCGGAUUGUAGGCUGCAACUCGCCUACAUGAAGGCGGAAUCGCUAGUAACCGCGAAUCAGCAGGUCGCGGUGAAUACGUUCCCGGGCCUU
rnacentral:rRNA from 1 species